rnacentral:rRNA from 1 species
GGGCCCCGCACAAGCAGCGAGCGUGUGGUUUAAUUCGUUGCUACACGAAGAACCUUACCUGGGUUUGACAUAAUGGUGGUAGGGAUCCGAAAGGUGACCGACCCUUCGGGAGCCAUUACAGGUGUUGCAUGGCUGUCGUCGGCUCGUGUCGUGAGAUGUUCGGUUAAGUCCGCUAACGAGCGCAACCCUCGCUGUGUGUUAUAUGUGUCACACAGGACUGCUGGUAUUAAGCCGGAGGAAGUGGGACGACGUCAAGUCAGCAUGACCUUUAUAUCCAGGGCUACACACACGCUACAAUGGUCAGUACAAUGGGUUGCCAAGCCGCGAGGCGGAGCCAAUCCUAAAAAGCUGGCCUCAGUUCAGAUUGCAGUCUGAAACUCGACUGCAUGAAGUCGGAGUUGCUAGUAAACGCAGGUCAGCUAUACUGCGUUGAAUACGUUCCCGGGGCUU